rnacentral:lncRNA from 1 species
ACUCAUUAAGAUUAAAUUUCAUAACUUACUCAUCAUUUAAUUCCAUUUCUACCAUUUUUAGUGAUUUUUCAAAUUUACAUCACUGCUGCUGUCAGAUUCUGUUUUAUGACAGAUUUCACUUUACUAAGGAUUUUCAUGGACUAAAUAGCAUUUUAAACAUACAUAACUUCAAAUAUGACUUAGAUUGGCCAUUCCAAUGGCUAAUCAUUUACAAACCCUUUUCUUACCAAACCAUAGCCAUAUCAUAAGAUCAUUUACACAAAGUGAGUAUUUUGCCAUACAUGCCACAUUCAAAACACACAAGCCAUUUUACCAAUUUAGGCCUUCAGAUAGUGUGAACGAGUCUUCGACCUAUCCCAAUUCUCAAGCCGGCUUGUUAAAACUACAAUGAAUGAAAAGGAGGGAGUAAGCAUAAAUGCUUAGUAAGUUCAUAUGCAAAUAACAAGUAACAUAACCAUACAAAUAUACCAAACAACCUUAGCAUGGUAUCACCAAAACAUAUAUCACAUUUCUAAACAUCAUUCAUCAUCUUACCACCUUAUCGUUGUUGUAUCUAUUUUCAACCCGAGGGCUAAGUACAUACCUGUCCAAAGUGUCCAUUUCACAACACUUACCAAAACGUCACUUGCAUCUUAAGUGUUCUUCCAUUUCACUAGAAAUUUUACCCGUUGAACACAUCGGAAUAUAACUCGGAUACAUGGAUAAUUUGCACAUAAGUGCCACAUAUGUAAUCAAGCAAUCAUGUAACCCGCCCCUAAGUGAACUCAGACUCAACUCAACGAGUUCGGAUGCUCAACCAUCCUAGUGACAUGUCACUUGUAUCCUAAUCUAUUCCUAAGGUUCAAACGGGAUUUUCCUCGAACACAUCUCCUUGCCAUCUUCCGUAAAAUACCGAAACCAAUACUCGGUAGCACUUUAUAUUUAACAAAUAAUACACAUAAUUUUCAAUUUAUUCGAAAAUAACCACAAAGCAUAUAUUUCAUGAUAAAAAUCAGCAUAUCAUAUAAUUAACAUCAAUAACUUAAAAAUAACAAUUAUGCUACAUUAUUUACACAUGAACUUACCUCGGCACAAAAUUUUUAACAAUCGAGCCUAUUCAUCGUAAACUUUGUUUUUCCCUCGAUCACGACUUGAAUCUCAUUUCUCUUGAUCUAUAAUACCAAAUUAAUCUUAUUUAAUAAAUACAUUCAUUAAAACAGUCCUUAAUAAGAACUUUGGAAAAAUUACCAUUUUUCCCCUAAACUUUUGCAUAAUUACACUUUUGUUCAUCCCUUAUUAUUAUGUUUUAUGACAUGCUGAUCAUUUUUCCCUUCUAUGGCAACAUCAAAUUCUCACUCUAACAUGUAUUUAUGACUACUAAAUAUUUUUACCGAUUAAGUCUUUUUACUCGUUUUCACUCAAAACCGAGUAGCACAAGUUGUCUAACAAAAUUUAAAACCUCAUAUUCUGUCAUAAAACACCAAAAUACACAAAUUUCACCUAUGGGUAUUUUUCCAAAUGUGAACCAUAGGUUGAAUUAUUGUUAACAUAAGCUAAAUCGAGCUACCGGGAUUUCAAAAACAUAAAAAUCAUUAAAAACGGGGCUUGAAAUCACUUACUAUGAAGCUUGAAAGUUGAAGAAACCCCAGCUAUGGAGGAAAGCAAAAUUCGGCAUAACAAUAUGGAGAAGAUGAUCAUUUUGGGUUAUUUUUCCUAUUUUUAUUUCAUUUAAUAUCCAAAUGACCAAAAUGCCCUUACUACUAAACUUUUCAAAAAUUC